rnacentral:lncRNA from 1 species
GUUAGGAGAAAAUUUUAGAAGAGCUAUAGAGUUGGCCAGAAUUUACUCACGAAAUAUAGGUUAUAAAGGUCUGGGAAUAGUCAAUUUUACAUUUUGAAAAGUUCUUGGAAGACUCUAGUUUAAGAGUUUAGGAAAGUUUAUUAUUCGGGUUUCAUUUGGAUUCUCUUGGUGUGUUGUUCGAGCUUUGAAUCCGUGUGUUGGAAAAUUUGAAACCAAGCUCCCAUCUGUCCCGGAACGCUGCUCCGAAGAAGGUAAUUCUGCCUCUUCUUACAUUUUAUUUCGGUAUGAUGUGUUGUAUGUCCAAGCUUUUACUACAGGUCCUACUAUUAAGUGUGUUUGGUUCCUCGUCUUGUUGGUUUCUUUACUGUCGUUCUUAUGAAUUUCUCGGCACAUGACUCAAGUUUUGAUAAAGUUUCUUUGGUAGUAAGAUGCUAGUCGUUAGAUUCGCUGGUUCAAUGGGGUAUCAAAAUGAUGUACUGUUCGAUUGGUUUCGACUUUGAAUAUGCUAUAUGUAUAAGUUUGAUUGGUUAUCCUCUCUAUCGUUUUAUUCAUUAUGAUAGACUCUCAUUUUAUAUUAGCUCAAUCUCAUGCUAUAAUUAAAUAAAAAUCUCUGCUUUUACAUACUUGAGUGCUGUCCAUGUCUUGUUAUUGUUUUGUUUCUUCUGGUCUCAAGGCAUGGUGUCAUUAUAACUCGCUUGUUUCCAUGAUCCACAACCUCGAUGCUAAAACCUCUCAUCCUUUCCAUGAAAAACAUUGUUUCCUGACCAUGUGAGUGUAUUAGGCAUCUACAUUCUAUUUUAUUAUGUUAAAUGAAGUUUAUCUCCAUGAUAAGUAUCGACUAUUUGUACGAUAUGAUUAACGAGCUCAAUAGUCGAAGUGUAAGGUUGACCUCCUUGGCUUUCUCUGUUAAGUAUUUUACUUCAAGAUUGUUGAUAAUUUCAUUAUUGUGCAACGGUAGAUGAUUUCUAGCAUUUAAAGUUGUCCAGCUUCAAUUUUGUGUAGCAUUAAUCAUGUUUGAGAGUCUGAGUAAGUGCUCUAAAUUUGUUUGUUUGUUUAUUAGUAUCUAAUGUAGUCCUUAUAUUUUGCUAAAAAAGAAAUAAUAAAAAAAUCAAUAAAUAAAUAUGCUUUACUUUUCACAUGUUGCCAGUUGUUGAUGUUGAUUGUUUAUGAUAUGAAUAAUCACGGUUCCCUUUCAAUUAUCUCUUUUAAAUUAUUUACUUUCCGAAUUGAUAUCCUUCGUUUCUUGUCGGUGGGUGAUACUUGAACCUAAUGUGUAUGAGUACGGUUGCCUCACAUUACUCGAAUGAAGCUUUAAAUUUGUAUGUCUGUGAGUUCAUUAGCUACUAACGUAUAAAGAUAGAUAUCACUAGAGUUUCCCUUUUAGUGUUGGCUUAUAGCAAUAUUUGUUGUUCAAAUGCACUUGUAAACUUGUCCUUAGUUGCUAAUAAUUUGUUCGUUGAUACUAGUUUGCAUAAUGUGGUCACUGCCACAUAGAACUUAUUCACUGAUUUAGUUGUAUUCUUCCAUUUCAGCUCUCUUUUGAGUUAUUUGUAUUGUAUAAGUAGUCUUUCAUUAUCUUUAAAUAGGCCUUAUCUACAUACACAUCCUCCUUGCCUUAUGUAGUUGUGAUUAGUAAUCAAUUUGUUUAGUUCACUAUUUAUCUUGUUUCAUCUCUUUAGUAGAUAUUAUGUAUAUUUUGUUUAGUUAGGAAACUUUCUCUAAUGGCUUGUCCCAUUCUUAAUUAGUUUCCACAAUUAGCUCUCAUUUUUUAAUACAAUAUCACCAUCCUUUUGUCUAGAAAUAUAAUGUUAUUAAUUAGGUUCUCAUCUCUUAAAAAAUUUAUGUGUCUACCUUCGUCUAGAGUUAAUUACUUGAUCAUAUAUUUGAUGGAAGUUUUACCUUUUCUUUUUUUUCUAAUUCUUCUCCUCCUCUUUGUGUGCAUGUAAACCCCUUCCGAGUCCAUGGUGGACUUCUCCUCCUAGCAUUCUCGAGUUGAGCCAUAAAGGCUUAAUUAAAAAAAUUUCUCAUCAUUCGAGUCAGCUGGGCACAUAAAACAGAAGCACAGGGCUGGAAACCCAGAGACAAGCCUCCAAAAGUCCUAAGAUGGACUAUAUACAUUCAUUAUACACUGUAUACAUUCAGUAUACAUCAAUAUACAGGUCAAAAACGCAGGGAUACAGGGCUGAUGCGAAAUACAUGUGUUUGGAAGCAAGAUAUACAUGAAAAGGGCUGAUAUACAUGUCGAUAUACACUGAUAUACAUCAAGUGUAUACAAAAACGGGAUUGAGUAAAAUCCCCAGAAAUUGCAGCAAAAUUGGCCCAAAAAGGAGGCCCAAAUUCAAUUUCUAACUUAUUUAAUUGUGUGAUUAUUUAUUUAUUUCUUUUCUUUUAAAUUGCGACUUAAUUUAAUUAAAUUCCCCAAAAGAUAAACCAUGUUCUUUAUGUUAGUUUCUUUAAAAAUAAUUUGUUUUUUAUCAACUCUUAUGCUUAUUCAAAUAUUUUUAGUCAAAA